rnacentral:misc_RNA from 1 species
AAAAAAAAGAAGGCCCGCCGGAUAAGACGCCACCGAAGAGGGCCCAGCCACGGGGCACACACACACACACACACAUGCUCUAACGCGCGCACCCGCACGCGGCUGCUUUCUUCUUUCCCAUCGAGACACACGCGGUGACAGUUGCCGUCGUCGCGCCGAUUCGCCCGCUUCCAUUGUCUCGUCUCGCGCGGUGCUCUUGGAGUGCUGACAGGUAUGCACGAUUCCGUCGACGGCUUCUGGGCCGCGUGUAGCGGCUGCGGCGCUACCAGCAAGAGGCUGCUUAUCCACAAGACGGGAGUGGCUGCCUCGCCCAUCGGUCUCGUUACCGGCGAGGCGGUCAAGCACGGAAGUCCGCUCAUUAAUGUUCCAUACAACUCCGUCUUUAAUGGGCAAACACUGAGAGGAGACGUACUGCCUCGCGCGCUUCCGUCGCUUCGCAAGAUGUUGCUGUUCUUGACGCGGCGAGGUCGGAUGGGUGUGGUCACCGCACACAGCUUGUGGCUCGCGUGCUUUGUGGCGUGCUAUCGUCAGCAGUGCGCCGUUACCAACAAGGCAGGGCGGUGGUUGCUGCAGCCACUGCUGAGUAGUACUGUGUAUCCCCCGCUGCCGAACCUCUUUUCGGAACGCAAUAAGUUCGCGUGCCCUUCUUUGCGUGCGAGCUCUGCAGCAGAGUUGGAGGUGAUGGAGAGGCGUGUACAGGAUGAGCUCGACUUGACUUACUCGAUGCUGCGACACUACAUAAAGCGCCGCGGUGUGUCGUCGAAGCUGCGCCCGAGCAGGGAUAUGCUGGUACAGGCGCACCGCACCGUCAUGCAGCGCGCACUUCUGCUGCCCCGGAACGGGGAGCCAUCCGCUCCGGCGGAGCUUUCCGAGUUGAUCGAGACAUCACCCGACCUUCCCCUCUUUCCGUCUCUCGUGCCUGCCAUUGAUCUGAUACGAGCGGCCCCUCUGCACUCCCGCGCCGAGGCAGAGGAGGAUGCAGAACCACCGAGCAGCGGCAACUGCUCCAUCUUUACGUGCGUACAGUCGGACUUUUUGUCUUCUUCGAGCAGGCGCCGAGUAAUUGUGGAGACGGCACCGCUGGCGGCCCGCCGGGUGGUGGUUUGCGCUACGAAGCCACUCAAGGAGGGUACGGAGCUGCUGAUGGAAUUUGAGUAGAGGCACGGCAGCGCUGGUGUGACUUUGUCGGAUGAAGUGGGGACUGAUGUGCACGAUUUCCCAAGAGGCGCUGAAUCUUCACAGAACUCGAAUUGAUUUUAUUUGCCCUCUCCCAACGCUCACUCUUUGCGCAACCCGAAG